rnacentral:rRNA from 1 species
CCUACGGGAGGCUGCAGUGGGGAAUAUUGGACAAUGGGGGGAACCCUGAUCCAGCCAUGCCGCGUGUGUGAAGAAGGCCCUCGGGUUGUAAAGCACUUUCAGUGAGGAAGAACGCCUGGUGGUUAAUACCCAUCAGGAAAGACAUCACUCACAGAAGAAGCACCGGCUAACUCCGUGCCAGCAGCCGCGGUAAUACGGAGGGUGCGAGCGUUAAUCGGAAUUACUGGGCGUAAAGCGCGCGUAGGUGGCUUGAUAAGCCGGUUGUGAAAGCCCCGGGCUCAACCUGGGAACGGCAUCCGGAACUGUCACGCUAGAGUGCAGGAGAGGACGGUAGAAUUCCCGGUGUCGCGGUGAAAUGCGUAGAGAUCGGGAGGAGGCCCAGUGGCGAAGGCGGCCUUCUGGACUGACACUGACACUGAGGCGCGAAAGCGUGGGUAGCAAACAGGAUUAGAUACCCGUGUAGUC